rnacentral:rRNA from 1 species
UAGGCCUCAAAUAAUGUGUGGCU